AACUAGAGCAGCCCAGCCAACCAGACUGGCCGGCCCAAUCUGCAAAGCUGCACAGCACUGUGUAUGAGCCACACAGCCUUGAACAGGGAGCCCCGCCUCUCCAUGCCAGUUUCCUCAUCAGUGAAGCUGGGGAUGACAGUCCUUGUCUCUGCACUUUGGAGUAUAUCCAAGAGAUCGCUGGCUGCCGAACUGUCCCAGUGGAAGUUGGUUCAAGGUACACAGAUGAGGAAUGGUCCCAGACACUCAUGACGGUCAACGAGUUCAUCAGCAAAUACAUCGUGAAUGAGCCAAGGGACGUCGGAUACCUUGCUCAGCACCAGCUCUUUGACCAGAUCCCGGAGCUGAAGCAGGACAUCAGCAUCCCCGACUACUGCAGCCUGGGCGAUGGGGAGGAGGAGGAGAUCACCAUCAAUGCCUGGUUUGGUCCCCAGGGAACCGUCUCCCCACUACAUCAGGAUCCCCAGCAAAACUUCCUAGUCCAGGUUGACGUGGAGAAUCCCGACCUGGAGAAGUUCCCCAAGUUUGCCAAGGCCCCAUUCCUGUCCUGCAUCCUGUCUCCUGGAGAGAUCCUGUUCAUCCCGGUG
rnacentral:sRNA from 1 species